rnacentral:rRNA from 1 species
GGACCCGACUGCUAUCGGGGUAGGGCUAAGCCAUGCGAGUCGCGCGCCCGGGGGCGCCCGGGAGCGGCGCACGGCUCAGUAACACGUGCCUAACCUACCCUCGGGAGGGGGAUACCCCCGGGAAACUGGGGUCAAUCCCCCAUAGGGUAAGGGCGCUGGAAGGCCCCUUACCCGAAAGGGACAGCGGCUGAUCCGCCGCUGUCCGCCCGAGGAUGGGGGCACGGCCCAUCAAGGUAGUUGGCGGGUUAAAGGUCCGCCAAGCCGAAGACGGGUAGGGGCGGUGAGAGCCGUGAGCCCCGAGAUCGGCACUGAGACAAGGGCCGAGGCCCUACGGGGCGCAGCAGGCGCGAAUACUCCGCAAUGCGGGCAACCGCGACGGGGCUACCCCGAGUGCCGGGCGAAGAGCCCGGCUUUUGCCCGGUCUAAAAAGCCGGGAGAAUAAGCGGGGGGCAAGUCUGGUGUCAGCCGCCGCGGUAAUACCAGCCCCGCGAGUGGUCGGGGUGCUUACUGGGCUUAAAGCGCCCGUAGCCGGCCCGGUAAGUCGCCCCUGAAAUCCCGGGGCUCAACCCCGGGGCUGGGGGCGAUACUGCCGGGCUAGGGGGUGGGAGAGGCCGCCGGUACUCCGGGGGUAGGGGCGAAAUCCGUUAAUCCCCGGAGGACCACCAGUGGCGAAAGCGGGCGGCCAGAACGCGCCCGACGGUGAGGGGCGAAAGCCGGGGGAGCAAAGGGGAUUAGAUACCCCUGUAGUCCCGGCCGUAAACGAUGCGGGCUAGCUGUCGGCCGGGCUUAGGGCCCGGCCGGUGGCGAAGGGAAACCGUUAAGCCCGCCGCCUGGGGAGUACGGCCGCAAGGCUGAAACUUAAAGGAAUUGGCGGGGGGGCACCACAAGGGGUGAAGCUUGCGGCUUAAUUGGAUUCAACGCCGGGAA